UCAGUCGCCUGUUGCAUGUCUGCUCGCAGCCAGGUGAGUUCGUCAUUACGCCGCUUUGCUACCUGUCGACGUCCUAUCAGUGUCUGGGAUAGAGGUACUUCUUCGGGAAGAUGAUGAUCGUUAACAAAGAAUGACUAGCAUCACAGCAAUGGAGGGAAUAAACAAACUACGAGGAGCAUAGCUACGAUGUUGUAAUGGAUAAUGACACCAACUGGAGCGGCGCCGAAUUCGAUAAUGUGACGAGGAGCGCGACGACGGCACGGCCCGGCUGGCUGUGUGACCUCCCUUCACAUCGUCACUGGCGCGGGCAAGAGACUCCCUCCUGGGAAACAGUGCGUCACCACCUCAGAUGGUUCUUUCUCACUACUAUCUUGUAUAACUCAGUAUAUGACCUAUCUGUGUGUUGACAGUGACGAGGAGCGCGACGACGGCACGGCCCGGCUGGCUGUGUGACCUCCCUUCACAUCGUCACUGGCGCGGGCAAGAGACUCCCUCCUGGGAAACAGUGCGUCACCACCUCAGAUG